rnacentral:rRNA from 1 species
GCAAGUCGAGCGCUGAUUACGAGGUAGCAAUAUUUCGUGGUCGGAGCGGCGCAAGGGUGCGUAACACGUGGGUAAUCUGCCAUGAAGUUCGGGAUAACUUGCUGAAAGGCGAGCUAAUACCGGAUGUGACAGCCGAAAGACAUCUUUUGGUUGUUAAAGUUGGGGACCGUAAGGCCUGACGCUUCUUGAUGAACCCGCGGCCUAUCAGCUAGUUGGUGAGGUAACGGCUCACCAAGGCUAAGACGGGUAGCUGGUCUGAGAGGACGACCAGCCACACUGGAACUGAGACACGGUCCAGACACCUACGGGUGGCAGCAGUCGAGAAUUUUUCACAAUGGGCGCAAGCCUGAUGGAGCGACGCCGCGUGGGGGAUGAAUGGCUUCGGCCCGUAAACCCCUGUCAUUCGCGAUCAAACGUUAUUAUUUAAAAGAUGAUGACCUGAUAGUAGCGGAAGAGGAAGGGACGGCUAACUCUGUGCCAGCAGCCGCGGUAAUACAGAGGUCCCAAGCGUUGUUCGGAUUCACUGGGCGUAAAGGGUGCGUAGGUGGUGAGGUAAGUCGGAUGUGAAAGCUCGGAGCUCAACUCCGAAAUGGCAUUGGAAACUACCUUGCUCGAGGGUUGGAGGGGGGA